GUUUUAUUUAGUUCUUUUUAGAAGAAAUAAAAACUAAAACAAAAUCAAGCAAAGCUCCCUAAGCCUUCCCAGCAAAGAAAGAAUCAAAACUGAACAAAAACUCUACAAAAUCUAUGAAGGAACCCCCAAACCAAGCUCUUGGUAUUGACAAGUUGUGUGUGAUUCAAAGAAUAUUUGAGUUAAUCUUAUUUAUUUUUCAAACAAGGUAGAAGGUACUGUAUAGAGCUUACAUUAUUUUUAGAACUUAAUUUAGGAUUGUACUGUCACUUUGGUGAGUGUGUAUAUAUAUAAUUUUAUAAACUUGGCUGUACAAUGUGCAUUUUAAAGCCUUGUGUAAAGGUCAGGUGCAUCGAGUCUGAUGCUAUUUAAACUUACAUUUUAUCCACAAAAUGUUAAAAAUAAGUAUUGGCUAUGAAGUAUGCUGUACUCUUAAUCAAUAUCUGCUGAAUAAUUUCACAGGGAUGAUAAUAUACCAGGGUGUAAUAAUGUACCAGUUAGUGCUCAUGCAAAUGAUGCCUCUCUAGAACUUCAAAGCUUUAGAGUGUACUUCAUUUAAUUGUCUCAUUUUAAAAUCAUUUCCUGCAGUAAGAAUGUAGGAAAAAAACCAAGUUUACAAUGUCUGUAUUCAGUAAGGAAUGAGAAACACAAAUUUGCUAAUGCUGUGUUGAAUUAACAACCCUUGAAAGCAAAAUGCUUUUAUUUUUUAUGUGUUCCUCUUCUUCCUCCUCUUCCUGUUUUUCUGUUGUGCUAUAGUGGGUAUGUAAGUCUCUAGAACAGGCUAACUGGGACAAAUCCACUCAAUGGACACAAGUUUAGGAAUCAAUUAAGAUACCUGAUUAUGGGAUUGUAAAGGUGUAUUCUUCAUAGUUUUGGAUUAAUGUGAGUUUCCAUCAGUGUCACGAAUCAGAAAUUGGACAUGCCAGAGACUUACUAUGUCUAGGGGCAUACUGGAGUUUUCAUCAGAGGCUGAUUUACUAGUUUUCCCUUCUGAAAACGUGCAUGCAGAAAAAAACCCGCAGAAAACAACUGAAGCAGCUUGGAUGCCAAGGCAUUUGAAAGGAAUAGAAGUCCAGACAUGUACUACUACUGUUCAGGUAGUGCUGCUUUUUCCUUAAGCACUUCUUUCAGCCUUAUGCCGUUACUAUUCAAGAUAUAAUGUGGUUGGUUUGGGAACACUUGCAGACCUAGUGAAAUUAUUAAUCAUAUUUGAGAAGUUUGAGAAGGAACUUAGGGCAACUAUGCAUGAUUUUACAUGGAGGGAAAAAUGAGCCAUGGUAAUGAAUAAAAGCCUUUAAAUAUUUAAGCCUUAGAAGAUUCUAGGCUGGUAGUGUGUGUUGAAAUGGGGCUGUACUUGAUCUGAGAGCAAAAGGAGCUGCCUGCAAAAGAAACUGACUGGUGGUAGGGAGAAUUGAAUCUGGAAAGUGAAAGUGCUCUAAUGAAAUGAGAUGCAGUUCUGCAAUCUGGGUCUUGUUUCUGAGCUUACAUCUCCUUUGCCGUAGUGUGAAUUGGACCUGUUGAGUAGUGAUAGGUAACAUUCAUUUUCGUGACUGAGACUAGAACCCUUCCCCUUUAAUGGUUUUCAGACUAAGCUGGGUUUGAAAUCUGUUUCAGCAGCUUAUCAUGCUUAAGGUCAUUUGAAAUUAAAAUACGUACUUGUGUUCAGUGCAUCCUGAAAAUUAUUUGGAAGCUAGCUGUGGCCAGUCAAGCAAGUAGAUGCAUCUUCUCAUUCACAGAAUUUCACUGGUUUGCAAAACUUAUAUCUAAGGUAACAGGAGGAAAAAGUCUCAUAAGAUAAAACUUGGAGUGUGUAUAACUGUAUCAACCACAUAGUACUGCAGGAACAGGUCCUAACUGUUCUUCCACUACUUCCUUUCCUUUUCCCCUUUGAAGAUUACAGGAGUCUGCUGAAGGAUGUGUCCUGCAUACUUGUCAAGUGCUUCUUACCCAAAGUAGUUCCUUUAAGAAGGAAUAGCACAUAAAUCCCUGAUUUAAUAGAGAUUAUAAUUUUCUGUCUUCAUUCCCUUUAUGGAAAAUAACACUGCUGGCAAUCAAAAACAUAUUGUGGGUAAGUAAUGCAGAUUCAAUAAAUGUUCUAGUGCAUGUGAGAGCAAACUACUAGUCUUUAAAAAUGUUGGUUUGAGUACCUCUUGCUACCAUUUUCACUUUUAGUCUUUUCCUGAGAUGGAAUUAUUGCAAAGAGAAGUAAACAAAGUCAUAAUUUUUAUUUUCUUCCUUAUUGGAG